AACGAACGCUGGCGGCAGGCUUAACACAUGCAAGUCGAGCGAGAUGUCGACCUUCGGGUUGGCGGAAGCGGCAGACGGUGAGUAACGCGUGGAACGUACCUUCGGUUCGGAACAACUCCGGGAAACUGGAGCUAAUACCGGAUACGCCCUCAGGGGGUGAAAGAUUUAUCGCCGAAGGAUCGGCCCGCGUCUGAUUAGCUUGUUGGUGGGUAAUGGCCUACCAAGGCGACGAUCAGUAGCUGGUCUGAGAGGAUGAUCAGCCACACUGGGACUGAGACACGGCCCAGACUCCUACGGGAGGCAGCAGUGGGGAAUAUUGGACAAUGGGCGAAAGCCUGAUCCAGCCAUGCCGCGUGAGUGAUGAA
rnacentral:rRNA from 1 species